GGCCGGUUAGCUCAGUUGGUUAGAGCGUGGUACUAAUAUUUGCAAUGCCAAGGUCAUGAGUUCGACCCUCAUACUGGCCA
rfam:Schizopora paradoxa strain KTC8140 unplaced genomic scaffold SCHPAscaffold_00008, whole genome shotgun sequence.